UGAGGAAUUUUGCGCAAUGGGCGAAAGCCUGACGCAGCGACGCCGCGUGGGCGAUGAAGCUCCUUGGAGUGUAAAGCCCUGUCAGGUGGGACGAAACCGGGUGGGUGAACAACCCUUCCGCUGACGGUACCACCAGAGGAAGCCCCGGCUAACUCUGUGCCAGCAGCCGCGGUAAUACAGAGGGGGCUAGCGUUGUUCGGAAUCACUGGGUGUAAAGGGUGCGUAGGCGGUCCGUUAAGUCUGAUGUGAAAGCCCUGGGCUCAACUCAGGAAUGGCAUUGGAAACUGGCGGGCUAGAAUACCGGAGAGGGAAGCGGAAUUCCUGGUGUAGCGGUGAAAUGCGUAGAUACCAGGAGGAACACCGGUGGCGAAGGCGGCUUCCUGGACGGACUAUUGACGCUGAUGCACGAAAGCGUGGGGAGCAAACGG
rnacentral:rRNA from 1 species